rnacentral:rRNA from 1 species
CCCGCUGCUUGCCGGGAGCGUCGUUCUGCGCGUCACCCCAGGCCAGGACGCCCGCGGCGCACGACUUAGACGGUACGCACACGGCCUCCGGCUCGAUGCACACCCAGUCAGGAGAAAGGACAUAGGGAUUAUUAAAACCGUGCUACCCAUUAUCCGCAGGGAGCCGGUCGUACUUCAAAGAUAAAGAGACCUCUUCGACGUCGAAUAGGGAAUGAUAACGAGCUAAGACUAAUGUAGUAAGGAGAAGUGCGGCAAAAUCUAGAUCCGUAACUUCUCGGGGAUAAUAAGAGAGGUAAUGGCUCUGAGAGGAUUCGGGAACGGAGAUCCGGAUACAAAUACAAGAGCAUAGUAAAAAAUUAUGUUGUAGAUAUUCUCAAUUAGUGCGGGGAGAAGCGGUACGUACGGAGUGACUGACUAGGUAGGAUUUCGGUGCGCUGGGUACUGGUGUAGCGAUAGCUUCAAGCUAUUCUCUGAGCUGCGCAGUGUGUCAGGAUAAAGACCAGAACAUGAGAAGCGGGGCAGGGUGAAAAGGGGUGGCAAGUGAUGCUCCUGAUUCUUCCUAAACCUGACGGUGCGCCGACGUCGCCGAGGUGUACCGACCCAUUCCGCUGUGUCUCGCCUUUCACCGGGAGUGAUGGCAGGCGAACCACGAUUCAAAUUGUGCGAGUAACAAAAUAGAUGGUACCUUCGCUCGCCGCUGUGUCCUUGUUUUCUAUUCAGCUCGCCGUGAUCAUGCGGCGUGGCAGAUAGGUGCUGAUUGUGUGGGUUCACGGGAUUCGCAAAGUGUGCCGGGUCUCGGCGGUGUACGGAAUCACCAAAGCGUCGAUAUGCCCUUCAAAAGCCCCCGGCAGAUGCGCGCGGCGUUCAAAGAACAAAAGGUCACUCUUGGUCGCUCCCAGGAAGGUCCCCAUCCGCCGUCCGCGCUUAAAGCCGGCUCGGCCGGGGCAGCGCGCGUUGGGGGAAUCAAAACCGCAGGGUCGCGCCAGGCGCCCGGUCUUUAUCUCGCAGGCGCGUGACCACGCUCAUCGAGGUAGGGGCCAAUCUGGCCGCAUGUGUUGCGGCGGCUCGCAUUUUCGUCGGUGGCGCGGGCUCUUAGCCCUCCUCGCUCCAUCGUGCCGAGAUGCUCGGACCUGAGCGUGUUCUCCGGGCCCUCCGGUUGGAACGCGCAUUGAAUUGGUGGAGACUGCAAAAGUAGGAAGCGACGGAACGAGGGCUCCGGCUCUCUAACUAUCGCACGGCAUUUUCGAGACACAGAGACGGUUAUGGUACAAAAUACGAAUAGAAAUAGCUGCAGUCGACACGUCCCUCGUCCAAACCCCACUUCGGCUGGCGCCAGCGAUCAACUCAGAACUGGCAUCGGGAACCAGGGGAAUCCGACUGUCUCACGUAAUUAAAACAAAGCAUUGCGAAUGGUCAGAGAUAGAUGGUUGACGCAAUGUGAUUUCUGCCACUAGAGUGUCUGCUGAAUGUCAAAGUGAUAAGAGGAUUCAACCAAGCGCCGGUAAAAACGGCGGGAGAGUUAGUAACUAUGAAUGACUCUCUUAAAAAGUGAGCCAAAUGCCUGUCGAAAAUCUAAAAAUAUGGGACGCGCAAUGAAUGGAUUAACGAGAUUCCACACUGUCCCUAUCUACUAAUCUAGCGAACCCACAGGCAGCGGGGAACGGGCCUGCGCCUAACAGCGGGGAAAGAAGACCCUGUUGAGCUUGACUCUAGUCUGAUUUUGUAGAGAGACAUCAGAGGGUUAGCAUAAGUGGAGGUCGUCACAUCAGGGGCUUGCUCCGUGCGGCCGACAAUGAAAUACCACUACUCUGAUCGUUUCUUUUACUUACUCGGUGAGACGGAAUCGGAGCUUCCCCACGUGGGAUUGCCCUCCUGUUUCUAGCCUAAAGCGGCGGAAAGGAGGCGCGCUUGGUUUCGGCCUUGCGUUAGCCUGACCGGCGUUCGCGCCCGCCCGCGAUCCGCUCCGAGGACAUUAUCAGGUGGGGGAGUUUGACUGGGGGCGGUACAUCUGUCAAACGAUAACGCAGGUGUCCUAAGGCCAGCUCAGCGUGGACAGAAACCUCGCGUAGAGCAAAAGGGCAAAUGCUGGCUUGAUCCUGAUUUUCAGUACGAAUACGGACUGCGAAAGCAGGGCCUAUCGAUCCUUUUGACUUUAUGAGUUUUUAAGCAAGAGGUGUCAGAAAAGUUACCACAGGGAUAACUGGCUUGUGGCGGCCAAGCGUUCAUAGCGACGUCGCUUUUUGAUCCUUCGAUGUCGGCUCUUCCUAUCAUUUUGUGAAGCAGAAUUCACCAAGCGUUGGAUUGUUCACCCAUAAAAAGGGAACGUGAGCUGGGUUUAGACCGUCGCGAGACAGGUUAGUUUUACCCUACUGUUGGCAGUUGUGUCGUUGAUACAGCAGUCCUGCUCAGUACGAGAGGAACGGCCAGGUCCGGACAUAUGGUUCCGCUCUUGGUCGAUCGGCCAGUGGAGCGAGGCUACGUCCGUGGGAUUAUGCCUGAAAGCCUCUAAGGCAGAAUCCCGGCUGGAUGACCAACGAUACCCGCGUACGGCCUGCAUCGGGAUGGUCACCAUUUGAAUUUUCGAGAGAUUCGCUCCCCGCUCGUUCGCGGGGCGGGGCUAGAAGAUGGGACCCGUGCAGAGGGAACUCGGGAGUGCCUCGACAAAACAGGUUCAGGCUCU